rnacentral:lncRNA from 1 species
GGGUUAAUACCCAUUAGAAACUUAUUUAAACCAACAAAUAUGGGUUAGUGGGGGACAUAUGGGACCCCCACCAUAUGAUGAUACUAAAUAGUUUGCAGGAUGGAGGCAUAGAAAUUGACUAAUGCAAAGAGUUUUAGACUUGGGUAAUCCUACCUGCCUUGAAGGUGCAUCGAAUGGCUUUCUUUUCAUUUUUCUGCCACCUAGGCAUCGGCUCUCUUCUUUAAACCCGAGCCUUGAAGAUUUUGGUAAGUGUUAGUGUCACGACCCGAUUUUCGAGCUAUAACCGGCUCAUGGACCCAAUGGGCAUAGCCCACUAAGCCCAAGCAAGCCUACUUACGUAAUCCUGCUCAUCAUCCCAUCAACUACUUUUAAAGUUACAUCUCACAAUUCCAACCUUCAAGUACUUUACUAAUAAGCUAUAGCAAUCAAAACUGCAUUUAUAUUAACCCAAAAUAAUAUUAACCAUUGCCACUCAUGGUCGCUUACCAAUCAAAAUAUACUUAUAUGGUCUAAGAUAUGCACCUGAGUUCUUUACAUCACAUGUACAUAUUUACAAACAAAAUGACUUUGGGCUUCCAACGGAGUGACCAAGGUGAAGGGACGGCUACUGAAUGCCAACGUACCUACCAAGAAGAUGAAACUACGUGGACACCUCAACCUAGGUUCCAACUGCCUCCUGAUAUGAAAACAUGAAGUUGAAAAUAGUGAGUACAAACUCAAUGAGUGAACAUAAGAAGGGAACAAGCAACGACAAGGAAAGUUUAAAGAAAUCAUGAUGCACUUAUUUUCAAAACAAUGCAAUUUAGUCUAGUUUUUAUUAAAAUCCCUCCAUUAAACCCCUGGUUAUUAAAUCAUUUAAUGAUGAAAGAACCAUAUUCAUCAUGAAAUUGGAAAGAGAGGAAAUUUUCAAUAAUCAUCCAAGCAAAGCAGUAUAAAUAGAAUGUUUCUUGCUACAAUAAAAUCAAUUUACAAGUAAAUGGGAAAUUUUCAAGAUUCAUCAUGCCAUGUAAUCACAUAUUAUAAUAAUAAUCUUUCUAUUGCAUAUACAUAUACUUAAGCAUAUAUCAAUUAGUAUACCACCACAUCUCAUCCAGCUCAUGUGCAUCCCCCCACAUCGUGCACAUAGUUGGACACCCCCAUCUCACCCAGCUCAUGUGCAUCCCCCCACAUCAUGCACAUAGCCAGACACCCUAUCUUAACCAGCUCAUGUGCAUCUCCCCACAUCGUGCACAUAGCCGGACACCCUAUCUCACUCAGCUCAUGUGCAUCCCCCCACAUUGUGCAUAGUUAAUGCCAUUGUAUGCAUCCCCCCACAUCGUGCACGCGGGCAAUAUCACCAUCCAUCUCACUCACCACCGUCAUCAUCGGCAAGUGCACACUUACCUUGCACAUGCACGGUUGCAUUUGUCACACAAUGGUACCCUUUAUGACAUAGUAUAUAUAUAUAUAUAUAUAUAUAUAUAUAUAUAUAUAUAUACUANNNNNNNNAUGACAUAGUAUAUAUAUAUAUAUAUAUAUAUAUAUAUAUAUCAACACUAUGCAGAAACAUAUGAAUUCAUCACACAAUCCAUUUCAUAAAAUAAAAACAUUUCAUAAGGGCUUGUUCCUGUGCAAGUUUUGAAGAAAGAACCAAGUAAAACGUUUUAGGGGAUUCAAUCAAACAUAUAUGUGUAUAUCCCAAAACCUUUUAAUGCAAGUUCACUCACCGGUACUUGUUGAACCUUUAAUCGACUCUAACUUCCCUAAUGGUCCAAAUGGGGUUGAGGGGCCUUGUUGGAACCUAUCAUGCACAAAAACAUCACAGCCAAUCCAAUUUAUAUUAAUAUCAUUCCAAAAGCUGUUUCCAAAUGCAAGCUUCAAUAGCCCUUCCUAUCUACCUUUCAAUUACCAUUUGAUUGGCUAUUCCAUUUCUCUACUUUAGUAACACUAGAAAUAGAUAAACAAUUUCAGCAAAUAACACAACUCAUAACUCUAAUUACUAGCCAUCAUCAAUAACUUAAAAUCAAUCCUAAUUCAUCACUCACCUUGGUGGAUGGUAAUAAAACUUCUUCCCAAGAGUCCUCAAGCUAUCGUGAAACCUCUCUUUCUCUUUCUACAAAGUUCAAUUGGUGAGAGAAAGUAUUGAAGAAAGACUUUUAAGGGGUUGUUUAAGGUGAAAGGGUAAAAGAGUAUGAAAAACCCUACAAUAGGGUGUGUAAAGCACGAAAAUUGAGGGUAGUUUGAGAGAGUGAUGGAAGCUUGAGAGAAACUUUCAUGGAAGAGGAGAAAAACGUGAGAUGGGAGGAGGAGGAAGAAGAAAAAGUU